UGGGGAAUUUUGGACAAUGGGCGCAAGCCUGAUCCAGCCAUUCCGCGUGCAGGACGAAGGCCUUCGGGUUGUAAACUGCUUUUGUACGGAACGAAAGGGCUCUCUCUAAUACAGGGGGCAUAUGACGGUACCGUAAGAAUAAGCACCGGCUAACUACGUGCCAGCAGCCGCGGUAAUACGUAGGGUGCAAGCGUUAAUCGGAAUUACUGGGCGUAAAGCGUGCGCAGGCGGUUUUGUAAGACAGAGGUGAAAUCCCCGGGCUCAACCUGGGAACGGCCUUUGUGACUGCAAAGCUGGAGUGCGGCAGAGGGGGAUGGAAUUCCGCGUGUAGCAGUGAAAUGCGUAGAUAUGCGGAGGAACACCGAUGGCGAAGGCAAUCCCCUGGGCCUGCACUGACGCUCAUGCACGAAAGCGUGGGGAGCAAACAG
rnacentral:rRNA from 1 species